GCGGAUAUUUUUUUCAUUUUCGCGCACAACUUAAAAUACAACACAAAACUCACUCUCUCUCACAAACACUCCAAACAGUACUGCAACUCAAACCUUUGUUCAUCAACCCCACCACCCAUCAACCCUUUCACCUACUCCUCUCCUCCUCACAAAUCACAUUCACCAACCAUCUUUCUUCGCCUCACAGCCCUUAAUCGAACUCAUAGUCUCACUCAUUCUCGAUUGUUCUCUCUGUCGAACACACCACCGCCCACCUUCAUCUUUACCCAUAACCCGUCUUAACACCAUCUCAUAUUUACCGAGAACCCGUCGAACUCUUCAAACCAAUGGAAUGAAACCAGAAAUCAAUUGAGAUUUCGAUUGUGUUGUGUCUUUGAAGCAUAUUGAGGAUCCAGUCCAGGAGCAUGCAAAAGGGGUUGAUCAGAGUAUUGGUGAGGAACAAGAUUUCCAGCUUUUGGAUCCGAGCUCUUCUCAAGCUUCUGAAUUUUUCUACUGAUUAUUUACUGAGCAUAUUCAUAGAUUAUCCUCACCUCUCAUGAAUUAGGUUAGUUUACUUCGUCAUGAUUAUUAUGGUAGAGAUAUAAAAGUAGUUAAAUUGUUGUGUGGUUAUAAGAAGUUAAAUUGUUGAUUGUGGCUAUAAGUACUUAUAUAUUAUGGCCUGCUAAAAGUAGUCCUGGUUUUUGCUCAGCUUGGUGUUUGAGUAAGGUACAUCACAUACUCCUGCAUCAUCAAUUAUUGAGUUAGGAUAUUGAGUAAGAUGCAUUGUUGAAUUCAUUUUGUAUACCAUGUAAUCUUACUUUAGCUUCGUUAGAAUGCUCGAGGUCAACCAGUUGAGAAAGAAAGCCAAGGUUUUGUCGGUUACCUUGGAGUCAUCGUUCGUCGGGAGGUUCCAAUUUGUAUGGAAAAUUAGAGAAAAAAGCUUAGGUUUGUUAGUUAUUUUAGGUUUGUCAUCGUUCAUAUAUAUGUAUUGUGCACGAACUUUGCAUUUUAUGUAAGUGUACAUUAGAUGUCAUUUCUAAUCAAAUUUAUUAUGAACACCUUAUUGUUUAUUUCUAUUAA